rnacentral:rRNA from 1 species
UACGGGGGGGCAAGCGUUGUUCGGAAUUACGUGGGCGUAAAGGGUUCGUAGGUGGCUUGCUAAGUCAGACGUGAAAUCCCUCAGCUUGAACUGGGGAACUGCGUCUGAUACUGGCGAGCUUGAGUGCAGGAGAGGAACGCAGAAUUCCAGGUGUAGCGGUGAAAUGCGUAGAUAUCUGGAGGAAUGACCGGUGGCGAAGGCGG